CCCCUAGACGUUCUGGGCUGCACGCGCGCUACAAUAAUACGCACAGCGAGUACCACCGAGCUCGAAAGGGCAAGGUAAACAAUAGAAAAGGUACUGUAAUGGUUAUAGAUCCUUGUAAUUAUUGAUCUUCGACGAGGAAUUCCUAGUAAGUAUGUGUCAUCAUCACGCACUGAUUACGUCCCUGCCCUUUGUACACACCGCCCGUCGCUCCUACCGAUUGGGUGAGCCGAUGAAACUCUCGGAUGUAGGCUAUUCAUAGCCCGCAGAAGAGAUUUGAAUCGUAGCGCUUAGAGGAAGGAGAAGUCGUAACA
rnacentral:rRNA from 1 species